rnacentral:lncRNA from 1 species
UAAUGUUGAAAUAACUUUAUUAAAACUUCAAGAUACACGCUUGAAACAUCGGUAAUAUAAACUUUAUUAAAUACUAGUAGAUUACAUAAUGUUAACUGCUACUAAAGAAGUUCAGGUUCGUUAUCAAGGAUUUUUCAGAAUGUUUUUUGCCACAUAAUAUGGAAGCCGGAAAUAUUGUGGAGCGUAGCUUUUUUGGAGGGGACAAUUUUAUGUUAACCAAUGAUAUAUUAAAGGUGGGCAACGUCCCCCUUGUAUCCACCCCUGUGAUAUGAUUUUACUGACCCAAACAGUCUUUAAGUAACGACCAGUCGAGAAAGGGAGAUUAUUUAAUUCCAUCCAUGUGGUUCGUUUGUGAUAUUUUCCUCAUACAUAUCCUAUGCAUGCAUUUCUUUUGUAGCGAAUUUUACGUUGUUUUGCAGUGUUUACUGUACAAGUUACUGGAAAAUACGCCAAAGAAAUAAAUAUUUACCGAAUGGACUUGAUAUUUUCGGGGUAAAGACGGAUACGUAAUUCACUGUUGAGAUAUGCGACAUUUAUUUGUAAAAUUUCAUAUACAUUAUCUUUACCAGUUAGAUAUUUUUAGUCCUAAGGAAGUAUCAAAGUGAAGGAAAAAUAAAUUACAUAAUUUACUGACAAUUCUGUGCGGGAUUCAGUUAUCAUAAAAUCAAUAACUAUCAUGGUACGCAGUUUAAUAAGAUCUGUCAAAUUUUACAUUAAAGAAUCACUUGCACAAUAUCUGUACUACAUGUAAGUACAAUCGCAAGGCAAUCUACAAUUAAUUCCAGGGGUUCCUAAAAUUUGAAUCAAUGCCCCACCUCCCCGCACCCAAUCAGGAAAUUUAAAAUAAUAAGAAUAAUAAUUAGCGGUGUAAAAUAAAAUGUUUAAACCUAAAAAUGCUUUAAUACUUCACUAAACUAUGUUUUGGGUCCAUUUUGAAUAGUACAUCCCUGAUAUAGUAUAUACAAUGUGUAAAUUUUAUAGCAAUAUAUAUAUAACAAAAUAAAAUAAAACAUCAAUCUAUGUAAAACGUGUAAAUAAAUAUACAACUUUUCCUGUCUCGUUUUCAAAUUUUUCAUUCAAUCGCUCGAUACGUCUUUAUAGUUUUUUUUCCAAUACAGUGCACUGUUUCCGCUAAAUAUUCUCAUAUACGAAAAUAAGAUAAAUGCAAUUUGCCCUAUGCAUUUUCUCCCUUGUAUAUUGCAAUGACUUCCUUUUAAGGCAUGAUACAUUCUUGCCCUAGUCUACGUGCAUUUGCCGGACAGCUAGGAACACAUCUAUCACCGAAUUGGAAAUACUUGCACAUCUGAAAAAAG